CAGCAGCCGCGGGAAUACCAGCACCUCGAGUGGUCAGGAGGUUUAUUGGGCCUAAAGCAUCCGUAGCCGGUUGCAUAAGUUUUCGGUUAAAUCUAUGCGCUUAACGUAUAGGCCGCCGAAAAUACUGUGCAGCUAGGGAGUGGGAGAGGUACACGGUACUCGAUAGGAAGGGGUAAAAUCCUUUGAUCUAUUGAUGACCACCUGUGGCGAAGGCGGUGUACCAGAACACGUUCGACGGUGAGGGAUGAAAGCUGGGGGAGCAAACCGGAUUAGAUACCCGUGUAGUCCCUGUCUCUUAUAC
rnacentral:rRNA from 1 species